ACAAAAUAGAGGAGGAACAGAGUUGGUAGAGGAUUCCUCUUGGCAUUGCUGUUGCUUUUGACUUUGGUUUUCUGUCCUUCCUCUACAGUCCCUAGCACGAUCUUGUGGCUUUUUUGGGGAAGAAAAAAAUACUUUCGGAGCUAUAGAAACAAAACCCAUUGUCUGAUAUGGAAAGAAACCCUGCACCAUGUAGGGAUGUGUUGGUUAUUAUGCAGCAGAGCAGGCCUCAGACAAAGUAAAACCGACAUCAGCAGAGUUACGUGUGAAUGUGAUGUAAGGCAUCAUUUAAGAACAAGCAAAAAUGAAAACCUACAAGAGUCCAAAAUGUUGACUUAAGUCUUCCGAACUUGCAGAACUGUCCAGGUGUAACUGACUGUUUCAGCAAUAUCUUGGCUCUGCAUUUUUCUUAAGCUAGAUUCAUCCUUGCUCACUAACACUAGAUCUUUCAGCUUGAGAUUACUCAAGGGAAAGAGUGCAUUAGCUUUGUUAAAGGUGCAAAGAAUCUUUUAUGCCGCCUUUUAAUUUUAGUAGUAGCAGGUAUUUUGAGAGUUGUAUCUGUUUGCUUUUUUACUUAAUUGCUAUAUGUAUAUUUUCUAACUUCUUACUAGCUACUACUCUGAGAAUGGCAGACAGCCUGAGUAUUUAGCUGUAUAGUACAGUUGUGUGCCAAAUGACUGUAUAACUAAAGGUUAAAGAACGCUGAGGUUAAAUUCUGAAAAUGAAGACAUCUUAGUUCUUACAAAGCAAGGUCCUGCUGCCAAGAAUUGCUAUGGAUACCACUGGUAUGAAGAUCACAUUCAAAGUGAUCACAUAGGUUUAUCUGUAAAUGCUUAGUUCUACAUAUAAAGAUCACUAAAAAUAUUCCUAGAAGCAACUCUUAAGAUAGCAGCUAAAAAGAGCAUCAGCACACAGUAAGGAAAAGGUAUUUCAAAAGGUAAGAGUUUUCUUUUUAUCUUUGCAUCUUCAUUUACAGGAAGACAAAACAGUUGAGCCAAUCUGUCCUCUUUCAGCUCAGGCUUAUGGAACAGAAAUAGUUUACUACAAAGUAUUAAUCAGACAUGUGGCUUUCUGUGAAGCUCUUGGAAUGCUGUUAGAAAUGAUACUGAGUUUUGCACUGUUUAAAUCAAAGAGAUUUAGUAUGUUCCUGACUAUACCAAAGCACACCCUGAGUGCAAAGGCAUUCAGGUGGCCUACAGCACUAGUAUUUCUUAGUUGAGUAAUCUAGAUCUGGUUUAAAACUUUAAAGUUGAUAGUUUUUAUUUAGAAGAAAUAGCAGCUGGGACCAUGUGUGCCUCAGUUCAUCCAGUUGAACUGUAUCAGAACAUCUUCUGUUGGAACUUAUUCUUGGGGGUUUUUGUACCAAUUUUAAGUAAGCUUUGAAUAAGCAGAUAAUUCUUGGCAUCAGUUUGAGUUAGUUUCCGUUUUCCCUCUAGCGAGAUGGCAUAUUUAAUAACUAAAAGGUGUUUUAUGACUAUAACACCAAAGAAGAGUUGUGAACUGUGAAGGCUUUCCAAUUGCAAGCAUUUCAGGUGAUAAACUUUGUUCUUGUACAGUCUGUUCUCCAUAUUCUGCAGCUUUACAGUUUCCUCACGCUUGCAGAUGUGGGCACAGCCACCCUUGUGGGGAUGGAGUGACCCACGCUCGGGGAGCCUGGGGCUUACCAGCCACACACAGGCUCUGCCCAAUGCUCCUGCUGCUGGGAGGGGGAAGGGAAGAGUGGCUUUAUUUCAAUUACUUGACUUACAAAUUUGUAACUUAGCUCAGCUGAUGCCAUGUAAGAUACUCUCCUGUGCUGCAGCCUGGCUGCUCUGUAGCUGCAGCUUGUGCAUCUGACUUGUAAAUGGGACUUGAAACAUAUGGACACUUCCUUAAUAUUUUUACUGAGCAUUAUUUGACAUUAAAUACCUGCUGCCAGGUAUUUUACUCUUUAAAAACCUUAUUGGUACAAGAUGGUGGGGUCUACUUCCAUGAGGUUCUUGGGAUAAAGCUAAUGCAAGCUUUCACCUUGAGGUUCGUGGGAUAAAGCUGAUGGCAAGCUUUCAGUUACUGUGAUAUAAAAGGUGCAAAUGUCUCAUAGUUUUGUAAUUUGGGUUACCUGUAUAUCUUGAAUUUUGGAGUUUGAAUGGGAAUUUCCCAUUAAACUACUCUUAGAGCUGAGAUAUUUUCUAUUUAUGUUGAGCCUUUCACAGAUGUGUGUAGAACUGUACAAGCUUACAGCUGUACUAAUGCAUCUUCUGUAGCUGUAAGAGAACUUAAAUCGUGAUGUAGAUGUCUGUAGAUGCUCAUAUUUGUGGGAAGUCAGGAUCUAAAUAUGUCUUCUCAUCCUGUAUUGCACUUUGUUUGCAGUUAACAUCACAUCUGAAUAAAUAAAACAUUGGUUGUGGAGGGCACCCUUGAAAGUGCCAGUGCAUAGCAGUGUAGGAGUGUAAGGUAUGUUAGAUAGCUAAAACGAGUGUUUUCCUCAAGCCUAAUGGCUUGUCAGAAUGUAUUGCUGCCUGAUCAGUUCAGGCAAGAAAAAGAUAUUAAAGGUAUAAAAAAAUUCCCCAAAUUGUGCUGUGUUUUGGUUACACAGAUUUGUGGAGCUUGAUAGACUAUUUGAGCUGUGCUUUCCACCUGAUCCUGUAGAAAUAGAUCUCUUACUGACUGCAUUUUCAUGAUUGAUUUCCCUAUUUAUGCCAUUCAGCUGUGGGGGUCAAAUAUCUAUCCUGUAACUAGCACAGCACCUGGCCUUGCUCUUCUGCAGUUAUAACAAGCCUGAAGUUAUUCCCAGUUUUUCAGAUUUGAAUGUGGAGAACUCCUCGUGUAGGAGCACCCAGAGACUUCCAUCAGAAUUGUACAGCACUUUAUGCAGCAAAGCUUGGAGACAAUCUAAAGAUACUGUUUGUUCUACAUUGUCUAUUUAUACUUUGGUUGACUGAAAAUAGCUAGGAAAAAGGUUGUUCAUGCCUGGCUAGAAAAUACCCACACCCCGUUACAGUGGAGAGGAGCAGUUUCUUUGAGACAUUCUUUCAGAACACAGCACUUACUCAUUUUCACCCUAUACUGUUUGCAAGUGAUGGUCAAAUCCUCCAAACAUGUCUGGUAACCACAAUGUUUGCCUUAAACUGGAGCUCCUUGCAGGUCUUCUCAGCUGACAAAGUUGGGCUUUAUAAAAACUGCUAAAAUUAGGCAGCCCUUCCCUGCUGAUCUCAUAAUGCUGGAAGAGAAGCUCAGAAAUGGUGUGGGCUUUAAAAAAAUCAGGAUAAAUCUAAUAGAGCACACUUUGUUAAGAGAAUUGGAUGUGGGCCUUUAAGAAAAUGCACCUUUAUUUGCCUGCUGAGUUUUCUUUAGAGUUGUGUCCCUAGUCAGGCAAUAGGGUGGCAAAGCAUAAAAUACAAGAGGCUUUUCACAAAGUGUUUCUGCCAUAAGCUUGUGCCCUGUUGUAAGGUACUAACACCAGUCAAUAUUUGCUGGAGGCUGUUGGGUCUGUGGUGCUUCACCACGUCUGGUUCAGUUGAGUAUUUUUAACAACUGGUUUUUCUUUUAAAUAAAUACAUGGUUUUAUUUGCAGAAUUUCUUAGAGUAAUAGCCCACAGAUUGAUCUUUGGGGUUCUGAAAUGGGAGGGGAUUCUGGCAAGCAAAUAGCCAAAGAUCCCAGUUUUGACACAACAGGCUGAGGAUCCGAUACCAAAUCUUUCCUGUUUUGUUAGCGUGAACCAGCCACUUCUGUAGCUACAUACCGAGGGCAAAGUCAGCAUCUAGAAGUCAGUGUUAAAAGAAUUUUUCAGUUCUAGUAUUCUAGUGGUUGAGAUCUCCACAAAGAAAGCACAGAAACCCAUCUGUUCACAGGGGCUGGGAUUCAAAUAGCAGAUAGUGAAGGAGUAUGUGAGCUUUGUGAUACUAAUAAUAAUAACAAAAAUACAAAUCCUAAGGUAAGUGCCUCAAGUCAUACUUCUUAUUUUGCUAUAUUGCUCUUAUCUUUGGCCUUUUAAUGGCUGAUUUUGAACCUCUGAUACGAAAACUUGGGAAUCCUGAUCCUUUCUGUAGGGUUCCAGGUCUGGCAGUGCAGUUUCUGAUGGUUGGAGUGUUGCUUUGUCUCUCAGAAUCAGAGCUGCUCCUGUGGUAGGAUGCAAGUCCUUGGGUACUAGCAUGUUCAAGGGCUGUCAGUUCUUGCUUUUAGCUGGAUCUAACAGCUUCAGUUGGAGCUUGUGGACGUGUUAGAUACACACUUGCAGUUACCACAUAGGCCAAGAGGCAUGUAGCAGCUCCCUGUGUUAGGCUUUCGAUUUCUGGUGUCCUUGAAGUGCGUUCACACUUACUGUCUUCUCUCUUGCUCAAAAGUCAUUUGAGGUUCUGAGUAUUUUGCUCAAAUGAGAGGUGUGGUGAUGUUACAAGCAAGUUUCCUAUUAAAAUGGUCAUGCUUCUGUAUCACAAAUGACUGGAAUUAAUAACUGUAAUGCA